CCUACGGGAGACUGCAGUAGGGAAUCUUGCACAAUGGGCGAAAGCCUGAUGGAGCAACGCCGCGUGCAGGAUGAAGGCCUUCGGGUUGUAAACUGCUUUUAUAAGCGAGAAAUAUGAUGGUAACUUAUGAAUAAGGAGCGGCUAACUACGUGCCAGCAGCCGCGGUCAUACGCAGGAGCCGAGCAUUAUCCGGAGUGACUGGGUGUAAAAAGUUGCGUAAGUGGUAUAAUAAGUAGCUAGUGGAAUCUGGUGGCUCAACCCUUCAGACUGUUAGCUAAACUGUUAGGCUCGAGCCCGUUAGAGGUAACUGGAAUUUCUAGUGUAGAGGUGAAAUCCGUAGAUAUUA
rnacentral:rRNA from 1 species